rnacentral:tRNA from 1 species
GGUGGGGUGGCAGAGUGGUCGAAUGCACCGGUCUUGAAAACCGGCAGUGGGCUUGUCCUACUCGUGGGUUCGAAUCCCACCCCCACCG